rnacentral:rRNA from 1 species
GAUGAACGCUAGCGGCAGGCUUAACACAUGCAAGUCGAGGGGUAGAGGUUGCUUGCAACCUUGAGGCCGGCGCACGGGUGCGUAACGCGUAUGCAACCUACCUUUUACAGAGGGAUAGCCCAGAGAAAUUUGGAUUAAUACCUCAUAGUAUAUAUCUUUCGCAUGUUAGGUAUAUUAAAGUUCCAACGGUAAAAGAUGGGCAUGCGUCCUAUUAGCUAGAUGGUAAGGUAACGGCUUACCAUGGCUACGAUAGGCAGGGGUCCUGAGAGGGAGAUCCCCCACACUGGUGCUGAGACACGGAUCAGACUCCUACGGGAGGCAGCAGGGAGGAAUAUUGGACAAUGGGCGCAAGCCUGAUCCAGCCAUGCCGCGUGCAGGAAGAAGCAUCUAUGGUGUGUAAACUGCUUUUGUACAGGAAGAAACAUCCCGACGUGUCGGGGCUUGACGGUACUGUAAGAAUAAGGAUCGGCUAACUCCGUGCCAGCCGCCGCGGUAAAAC